rnacentral:rRNA from 1 species
AUGACAUUGAAGGCAGAGGUUCUCAUCCGAUCACCGAAGUUAAACAACGUUAGGCCCAGUUAGUACUUCCAUGGAUGACCGGGUGUGAAUACUNNNN